CCUGGGAUUUGGGAGCUUAUCAGAAUCUCCAGGGGUACUUAUAAUUUGAAAAAGUCCCCCAGGUGUGAUUCUGAUUUGCUUCCUUCUCCUCCUCCU
ensembl:miRNA MIR361 microRNA 361